rnacentral:rRNA from 1 species
UACGGAGGGUGCAAGCGUUAAUCGGAAUUACUGGGCGUAAAGGGUGCGUAGGUGGUUGAAUAAGUUAUCUGUGAAAGCCCUGGGCUUAACCUGGGAAGGCCAGAUAAGACUGUUGACUAGAGUAUGGGAGAGGGUAGUGGAAUUUCCGGUGUAGCGGUGAAAUGCGUAGAGAUCGGAAGGAACACCAGUGGCGAAGGCGGGUUCUCUGGGCAGUGUCCUGACGCUGAGGAGCGAA